UACGAAGGGGGCUAGCGUUGUUCGGAAUUACUGGGCGUAAAGCGCGCGCAGGCGGUCUUCCAAGUCAGUGGUGAAAGCCCGGAGCUCAACUCCGGAACUGCCAUUGAAACUGUGAGACUUGAGGAUGAGAGAGGUGAGUGGAAUUCCCAGUGUAGAGGUGAAAUUCGUAGAUAUUGGGAAGAACACCGGUGGCGAAGGCGGCUCACUGGCUCGUAACUGACGCUCAUGCACGACAGCGUGGGGAUCAAACAGG
rnacentral:rRNA from 1 species